rnacentral:rRNA from 1 species
GAUGAACGCUGGCGGCGUGCCUAAUACAUGCAAGUCGAGCGAACGGACGAGAAGCUUGCUUCUCUGAUGUUAGCGGCGGACGGGUGAGUAACACGUGGAUAACCUACCUAUAAGACUGGGAUAACUUCGGGAAACCGGAGCUAAUACCGGAUAAUAUUUUGAACCGCAUGGUUCAAAAGUGAAAGACGGUCUUGCUGUCACUUAUAGAUGGAUCCGCGCUGCAUUAGCUAGUUGGUAAGGUAACGGCUUACCAAGGCAACGAUGCAUAGCCGACCUGAGAGGGUGAUCGGCCACACUGGAACUGAGACACGGUCCAGACUCCUACGGGAGGCAGCAGUAGGGAAUCUUCCGCAAUGGGCGAAAGCCUGACGGAGCAACGCCGCGUGAGUGAUGAAGGUCUUCGGAUCGUAAAACUCUGUUAUUAGGGAAGAACAUAUGUGUAAGUAACUGUGCACAUCUUGACGGUACCUAAUCAGAAAGCCACGGCUAACUACGUGCCAGCAGCCGCGGUAAUACGUAGGUGGCAAGCGUUGUCCGGAAUUAUUGGGCGUAAAGCGCGCGUAGGCGGUUUUUUAAGUCUGAUGUGAAAGCCCACGGCUCAACCGUGGAGGGUCAUUGGAAACUGGAAAACUUGAGUGCAGAAGAGGAAAGUGGAAUUCCAUGUGUAGCGGUGAAAUGCGCAGAGAUAUGGAGGAACACCAGUGGCGAAGGCGACUUUCUGGUCUGUAACUGACGCUGAUGUGCGAAAGCGUGGGGAUCAAACAGGAUUAGAUACCCUGGUAGUCCACGCCGUAAACGAUGAGUGCUAAGUGUUAGGGGGUUUCCGCCCCUUAGUGCUGCAGCUAACGCAUUAAGCACUCCGCCUGGGGAGUACGACCGCAAGGUUGAAACUCAAAGGAAUUGACGGGGACCCGCACAAGCGGUGGAGCAUGUGGUUUAAUUCGAAGCAACGCGAAGAACCUUACCAAAUCUUGACAUCCUUUGACAACUCUAGAGAUAGAGCCUUCCCCUUCGGGGGGGCAAAGUGACAGGUGGUGCAUGGUUGUCGUCAGCUCGUGUCGUGAGAUGUUGGGUUAAGUCCCGCAACGAGCGCAACCCUUAAGCUUAGUUGCCAUCAUUAAGUUGGGCACUCUAAGUUGACUGCCGGUGACAAACCGGAGGAAGGUGGGGAUGACGUCAAAUCAUCAUGCCCCUUAUGAUUUGGGCUACACACGUGCUACAAUGGACAAUACAAAGGGCAGCGAAACCGCGAGGUCAAGCAAAUCCCAUAAAGUUGUUCUCAGUUCGGAUUGUAGUCUGCAACUCGACUACAUGAAGCUGGAAUCGCUAGUAAUCGUAGAUCAGCAUGCUACGGUGAAUACGUUCCCGGGUCU